rnacentral:rRNA from 1 species
CCUACGGGUGGCAGCAGUGGGGAAUAUUGCGCAAUGGGCGAAAGCCUGACGCAGCGACGCCGCGUGAGGGAUGAAGGUCUUCGGAUCGUAAACCUCUGUCAGCAGGGAAGAACGGUCACUGUGCUAAUCAGCAGUGAAUUGACGGUACCUGCAAAGGAAGCACCGGCUAACUCCGUGCCAGCAGCCGCGGUAAUACGGAAGGUCCGGGCGUUAUCCGGAUUUAUUGGGUUUAAAGGGAGCGUAGGCCGGCUUUUAAGUCAGCUGUGAAAGUCCGCGGCUCAACCGUGGAAUUGCAGUUGAAACUGGAGGCCGUGAGUGCACACAGGGAUGCCGGAAUUCAUGGUGUAGCGGUGAAAUGCUUAGAUAUCAUGAAGAACUCCGAUCGCGAAGGCAAGUGUCCGGGGUGCAACUGACGCUGAGGCUCGAAAGUGCGGGUAUCAAACAGGAUUAGAUACCCGAGUAGUC